rnacentral:rRNA from 1 species
AAUGGACUAUGGAUCCCAUUAGAACUCUAUAGUUAAGCCUGCUUGGGCUAGAGCAAUACUGGGAUGCGUGAACUCCCGGAAAGUCUUAGUGUUUACAUGCC